ensembl:lncRNA
UUGACACUGAAAAGUACUGACAUCGAAAAAAGACUUGCAUUGUAAAAAAAAACGCACUGAAAAAGGCUGACAUGAAGAAACAAAGAAAAUAUUGUCAUUGAAAAAGCACAUCAGAAUAAACAAAAAAAAACAUCAAAACGUCUUUUCAGUGCCCAAAGUUUUCAAUUCAAGUGUUUUAAUGCCAAAGUUCAAUUACUCAGUUUAGUUUUUUAUCAUGCUGAUUUUGUGCUUUUUCAGUGCCAAACCUAAAGUCUCUGUUUUAGCUCCAUAUCAACCCGGGUUCAAUUCAAUUUCUUUAACGCCUUUGUAUGUUGCGUUGAGAAAAGCUUCUGCUCAAUAUUCAAACUCCACUGUUAUGCUGAGGAUCUGCGUUGCGUUUGAUUCAACGCUGGUAAACAGGUGACAUACGGUCUUCAUCUGCAAGGUAACCAGGAGGUGCAGGAAGGGAAAGGAUGAAUUGAAAAGGAUGGCACAUGUCUCUAGUUGGGUGUGGUCUACCUUGUUGAGACACAUAUCUGGAAGCCUUACUGUAAUUACCAAGAAUGUUUUGAGACCCACUGGGGAUUUAGAGUACACAGGGUCUGACGUGCUGCAUAUAUGGAUUCACCUCACUGACAUUUAAUUGGUUGUUGCAUUUCUGGAGGGUGAUUAAGGACAAACAUUUGAUAGAGUUAUUUCUGUAUAUCUGGAUUAAAUGGACCCGUGGACUCGUCUGAACUACUGUUACACAAUAAGUUACACAUACCAUCAACCGAAAAAUGACUAACCUGGACUUAUCAACGGAAUUUCUUUAAAUUGCAUCAACAUGAACAUGCACCACUCUAACAGCUUCUGCUUUAAAUGACAAUUUCACAGUAGACAGUAGACUUAGGCCUGUUCACAUUAAGCUAAUUGAAACAUUGCAUGAGAUCCCACAGAAAUGAAACACCAUAUUGUAUUUGAGCAUGUGUUUGAAAUAAAAGUCCGAUGGGAACCAUUCAGUUCUCUUUGGGCUUAAUUGGGCCUCGCAUGAACAGAGAGGGCGGAUAAAGAGAUGCAGGGGGCCAGCAUCUGC